CUGCUUCCAUGCGCCACCAUCCGCCCCCCUGCUUCCACGCGCCGCCGCCGGUCCCGCUGCUUCUGGCCGCCGCUGUCGGGAGCCACCAUAGCGCCACCAAUCGCCACGACUAGUCGUCCCUACCGCCGCCUUGGCGACCUUCCUCCACCCCCCGCAGCGGGUCGUCGCGUCGUUUCACCGCAUCCCGUGGCCACAGCACGUCGUCCAACUCGGCAGUCCAACUGCUUGCUCCACGGUCGGUCGCUCAAGUAGCUGCGUGUAGGCAAACAUCUCCACGGGCGACAAGUUCUUCUUUCACAACUUGUUGCUGCUGCUGCACCUUCUCCUUCGACCAGGCUAAGUAAAUUGUAAAGGUACCUUGUGUGUAUAUUAUGCACCUUAGUGUUCAGUAGAAAUUUCAUCGUGUUGGUGAGCUCAUAUACUACUAUUCAAUCAGUUCGAAAACGUAAACUUGGGAAGUUCGAAAAAACAAAACAUUCAAGGGGAGUUUGUUGGGGAUAACAAGUCGAAGUUCAGGUGUCAAAAAAAACUGACAGUUCCAAAAGAUGAAACCCAGGAAAGUUCAGAGAAACAAAACACUAAUAAGUUAAAAAAAUACAAACCCCAUAAGUUCAAUAUAGAUAAACUAAAAAAAAAUGUUCAAAUGUAAUGAAUCUGGUAGUUAAAAUUGUUACCUUGUGCGUAUGCUCGAAGAAUGGCCUUGAAGGGAAGUUGUUAGCAGGGGAAAUGGUGAUAGGGAGAAAUGUCUUUUUUUUUUUAAUUUGUUAGCAGGGGAAAAACUCCUCCAACCUGUCCCCUGUCACAGCCCGACUGCUCGCUGCCGAUGCACUCCAACCCGAGCGCCUCCAUGAUGGAGGUCAUCUCGCAGCCUAGCGAUGAGGUAACUCAUCAUCCUUGUGCGUCCUUCGCCCACUGUGUGCCCUGCUGCCCUCAACCUCCCUCCUCACAGGCAUGCUACCCCAACUUUUAUUUUCAUUUUCAGUUCAACUUGUGCGUUCUUUUCAGUGCAUUAUGCUUUAAAAAUGUGCAGAAUCCUGAGGAAAAAUGAUACAUUUAGUUUGCUUUGCCGCAAGGGAAUUGCUGAAACUUAACUUCUGUAUAAACUAUAAUGAUCCAUUUUGAAACCGAUGUUACUUUACUUCACGAGGUUUCUGAAUCACAUUUCACUUAAAAAUGUAAUAGUGAAAUUAUACUGAAUAACUAAAUUAAAUUGCAGUGACAAUAACACCAACAGUCCAAGCAGGGUCAGUGAUGUAGGUUUACAGAAAAAUAUUAUUCUGUAAACUUCCCUCUCUUGUUGCAUAUAAACAAAAUAGAAAUUUCCAAGUGGUCAUAAAUCACUGCUUACGGAUACAGGGAAGCUGGCACCGCUCUUGUGUUAUUUUCUCCAGCGAUUGAGAAUUUGAUGCACUGCUUUUAAUGCGUAAGUUUAUCUGCUCACAACCUGUUCGUGCGAAUGCCAAAUAGCUUGAGAAUGUUGUCUUGCUUUUAUACGUAUGAACUAGAUAAACAACAGCCAACAAAGAGGAGCGGUGGCAAAAAUGAUGGGUGAAGCCAUGGGAUAGGUCGAGUGUGGGAUGUUUGUUCCAUGACCCGAUUUAUUGAAUCUAGCUUCGAUUUGUUACAGAGUGGCACUCCUUUUAUUUUGCCCCAUACGUACUUGUUCUAAUGCCUACAAAAAGAAGCAAGCAAUAGGCUGAGUGUUCCACCCGUGCCCAGCUACUAAUCCACCACGUGUCUGGUUGUUGUUGCCAGCUAGUUAUUUGUGUUGGUGCUGGGGCGGUUGCGUGUGCUGUAAGGUGGCCGAUUACCUUCCUCCCGUCCGCCUGUGUCCUCCCCUACAUCCUCUAGUCAUGCCUCCGUCCGUCCUUCUGUCAUGCGCAAUGCAGCGCCUGCAGCUCCAUGGUUCAUUGUUAAACCGUACACAUCGGCCGUUCAACGCAAUUUAGUUUAGCGGGAAGGGAUAAGCAACGGGGACAGUACAGGAUGGUCGACGGUGAUCCUACUGCUGGCAUGCUCCCUCCAACAUAUUUUCAUUUCUACUGUAGCUUGCUAUAAAGAUGAAACUAUAUAACUACACUGUGCAAAAACUGAGUGGUUCAAAUGUGAAAAAAGAUUUUCUUCUAAUUUAGUUCCCACCGUGCAUUUUGUCUGUGUAGAGUUUCAUCUAAUCUAGUUCGAAUUUCAUCUAACCUCCGGCAACGCACCACACCCCCCGCCUCCCACCUCCGGCGACGCGCCAUGGAUCUGCCUCCGCAGGGGCAGCCACCGGUGGGAAGGCGGAGCGUCGGCAACAACCACCUCUGCCCCUUCCUGUCCUCCCUGCUGCGCGACGACCACCUCUGUCGCCCCGGGAUCCCAGCUGCAUACAUUCAGGAGCAAGAAAAAAGAGAGGUUAAUUGGCCGUCCACACUGCCGCUCCUCCCAAGUCCACACUAAUAUUAUCACAAAAAGCAGAGGAUGUCUAUUUUAUUUCCUGAAACACAAACUAGGUGUUCUCUAGUUCAGUACGUGAGCUAUCUCAAGUUCUUGGAAAACAUAUAAAACGGUACGGUGUUUGUGCAAAAAAUUCAGACUGUUUUUAAUUAUACAGCAGUUUACUAUAUGGUAGAAUUGUAGUUGUUCAGUAAAAAGGUUCACUACCCCAACUGGGGGAUUUUCAAUCAAUUUUGUCUUUCUUUUCCAACUGAAAGUUGUAGCAAAUGUGAACUGAAGCUGUUGUGGAGCAAAUUAGUAAUAGUUGCCUACUUUUUUGUCGCUGCUACUUUUCCACCUAGAUUAAUACUACUACUACUUAUCGUGUUGCUAAAAGCUCGUGUUCUGGACAAUUUGUUCGUGGAUGAGCACUAUGUGAUGCCUUCCUAAGUGCUCUACCGAUAUUGCUACUUUGUACUGAUGCUUUCCAAAGUUUAGUUAUUUGCAUCGCAAAAGUAUAUACUGUGACUCCAGGAUAUGAAGUUCGAUGGAUGUGGAAGUUUAUUUUAACUUGAACUAUUAAGUGCUUCCAAAGUAUAUACUGUACUAUUUUCUGUAUGCUGCUCCGAACUGCUGUAGACUGGUAUCUGCUUUAUUAAUUAGUAUGUAAUAGUAGUUUUGUCUGAGUUUGGAGUCUCAGUUAGUGACUUGAUUAAGCAUCUUUGGCCUGUGUGCAGAGUGGGUGAUCAUUGGGUGGAUUAGUACUUAAGUCCACAAAAGUCAGCGUCUUGGUUGUGAUAAAAAUUGUUUACUGAGAGUUUUUUGGAAAGUAGUUCUAACUUUUUUGUUUCAUCUACAGGGUCCAGUCCCAUAUAUCUUUUAACCAGGUUCAUGGUGAAGCCCAGGGUGCUCGUCGGCGAUCACAAGAAGCAGGCCGUCGAGAAGGAGCUGGGCGACAUGGUGCAGCGGUGUGGCCAGUUCAACUACCUAUAUUUAACCAAUUGAAUGAAUGAGAUAAAAAAAUUAGUUCACCUCAUCCGACAGCCUCGUCUGGCAAUUCGUUUGGGUUGGCUUGCUGUGCAGUACAGGUAAAGCAUGGCCACCAGCAAUGCACUGUGUGGUUAAGGGUGAUGGAAUUCAACUCAGACUAACACCUUGGUCGUCCUUCUGUUGCCUGGCAACGGGUGUGUACUUUAGACUAUUCCUAGCAAUGGUAACGAGCUGUUCAAUGUGGGGUUCGUGCAACAUAUAAUGCAAAGUAGAUAGGUGCAGGAAGAAAGGUACUUUAUUUGAUUUAGUUCUCUCAUGAUGCUUGUGUAUUUCAAUCCUCUUAAGUUGCAUUGCAAACGGCCAAUAGUAGUAUUUUUUCAAUGCUUUUAUUGGUAUUUUCAAUGUAUAGUUGCAUUUCUUUUGCAUCUCCUCGCUGAUAGAAGAACCCUGCUACUACUUCUUGGUGGGAAUGGUUUGACAUGUAUGUCACUGCCUAGUAUCAUAAAUAUCCUAGCUAAUAGAUCAUGAUUUUCUCUCUUUUGCGUAUGUCUCUUAGUGUGUUCCCCCUUCCUCUUUUCAUAUAGCAUAUUCUGAACAUCAGAUGCUUUCAAAAAUGUGUCGUGCAAGUUCAAGUUUAACUGCUGCAGGAGUUCAAAAAUCUAAACAAUGUAAGCUCAACCCAAUUUCAAGAACUGUUUUCCUUCAUAAAUUGUAUUUUUGUUAGUUUGUUGUUAUGGACAGUACAGAUGCACAUUGUUGCGUAGUACAUGUGUACAUUGAUGUGUUCGAAUCCCUUCCGUUCACUUUGAUUCCUACAGGUGGUUCAAUGUGUUGAGCGGCAGCAGCGCUUGAUCCCUAGUGGUUGCCCGUGCAAGGACGAUACAGGGACGCUACAGUGGUGGAGGAGUCAGUACAUGUAGUAGCUAGCUCAAGAAAAGGAUUUUGCAGGAUCUUUGGGUUAGCAAUGGUUAAUUGGCUUACCCCCGGUGCUUGUCGGCAAGCCGGGCGCUGGGCCAACCACAAGGCAAUGCCACCAGGUAGGGCGCGAGAUGGCUACCAAGCGCGACAUGAGCCUUUCCGACCCCCUUUCCAGGUUCAGCACCAAGGAUCUCACUGUGGGGUGUGCGAAGGCACUAGCGCCUCUUCUUCCAUUUUUCUUCCGAAGUUCUGCUAACCAAUUAGCCACUGAUAAGAUGACUUUGCUUCCAACUAGCCACUGAAAUUUGUGGCCAUUUAAUGUCACCUU
rnacentral:rRNA from 1 species